rnacentral:rRNA from 1 species
UACGUAGGCAGCAAGCGUUGUUCGGAGUUACUGGGCGUAAAGGGUGCGUAGGCGGUUGUUUAAGUUUGGUGUGAAAUCUCCCGGCUCAACUGGGAGGGUGCGCCGAAUACUGAGUGACUAGAGUGCGGGAGAGGAUAGUGGAAUUCCUGGUGUAGCGGUGAAAUGCGUAGAUAUCAGGAGGAACACCGGUGGUGUAGACGGCUAUCUGGACCGUAACUGACGCUGAGGCACGAAAGCGUGGGUAGCAAACAGG